GGGAGGGCAGGCGGCGGCUCGAGCCCGUCCCCUCGCCUGCAGGGACAUGCGGCCCGGGACGGCCACCCGCAGGCCCCGCGCUUGCUCCGCGCCGGGAAGGGAGGAGCCGAAAGGGUGCCGGGGGGCACGGGACGCAGCCGGUUCUUCCUGCCGCCCGAGCGGGACCCGGCGCUCACGUCCCCUAACGCUGGAGGCGCCCCGCGCCGGGGAGCUGUCCGCCCCCGGUGGUUCUGAACCAGGCGCGGCAGAAACUCCAGGUGUAUAAUGUAAUGAUUCAACAAUGCUAUGUGCUACUCAAUGCUUAUCUCGACCCCAUGAAGGGACAUUCGUGGUGACCACAGGCAGAGAAGGUAAAGGGGACAUAUUAAUUAUCCUGUGGACGGCGUCUUGUUCAAGAGACUGCAGAAAGCUGGUGGGUGUGUAGCCUGUGGGUUGGACCAAUGUGGUCAAGAAAGUCCUGCAAAUGGGCAGUCAGAGGCUAUGGUGCCUCAGGGCCUGUUGGCAGCACCAGAGGCCAAGCCUUUCAUCAGCUUUCCACGGCUCAGAAAAUAAAG